CCUCACAAAAGCUUCACAACCCCAAAUCUUGAUGUGGUCCAAAUUGGGCACUUUCCCAGUCCACAUCUCGUGAGGUGUUUUGGCAACCUUUUUAGUAGGGACUAGAUUAAGGAUAUGGGCGGCAGUCUCUAAGGCAUACCCCCAGAAAGAGAUUGGUAACGAAGCUCGACUCAUCAUGGAACGAACCAUAUCCAACAAGGUUCGAUUGCGCCUCUCAGCUACACCAUUCAACUGUGGUGUCCUGGGAGGUGUCAAUUGUGAGACAAUCCCACAUUCCUUAAGAUAGUCAAGGAACUCAAUGCUAAGAUACUCUCCUCCCCGAUCGGAUCGGAGCAUCUUGAUGUUCCUGCCCAAUUGAUUCUCAACUUCCUGCUUAAACUCUUUGAACUUUUCAAAGGUUUCUGACUUAUGCUUGAUUAAGUAAAUAUAUCCAUAUCUACUGUAAUCAUCAGUAAAAGUCACAUAAUAACGAUUAGCAUCCCUUGUAGCAACUCUGAAGGGCCCACACACAUCCGUGUGUACAAGGUCCAACAAACCUUCACCCCUAUCACAAGUACCUGUGAAGGGCGACUUUGUCAUUUUUCCAAGUAAACAAGACUCGCAACUAUCAUCUGACUUGAGGUCAAAUGAUUCCAAGACUCCAGCCUUUUGGAGUUGGCCUAUGCGCUUCUUGCUAACAUGUCCAAGACGACAAUGCCACAAGGAUGCUUUAUCCAAGCUAUCAGAAGAAUCAAUAUACAACACAUUAUUUCCUAGAUUGUCUACAACAUUCACGGCUUCAUAUACACCAUCACAAGGUAUUGCUUUAAAGUAAAAUACAUCAUUGUAAUAAACAUUAAUAGCACCAUUUUUAUUAUCAAAUGAAAAUGUAAAACCUUGUUUGUACAAGCCAUGAAAAGAAAUAAUAUUUCUCGCCAUUUCGGGCGAGUAACAACACUUAUUCAAAUCUAACAUUAACCCAUUAUUAAGCAAUAAAGAAUAAACUCCUAUCUUGGUAACAGGUGAUGCUUUCCUGUUGCCCAUGACUAAGUUUAUCUUCCCGUGCUCCACUUGCUCACUUCUUCUUAGUGCCUGCAAAUCAGUACAAAUGUGAAUACCACACCCUGUAUCAAGCACCCAAGAAUUAGCAUUAGAUGAGUUGUUAGACAAUAUUGUGUAAAUACCUGCAUGGGUGGGUUUAACCUUCCCAUCCUUUACAUCUUGCAGAUAUUUGGCGCAGCUUCGCUUGAAGUGUCCCUUAUCUUGGCAAUAGAAGCACUGUGCUUCCUUUGGGUUCGAAGAAGGAGUAAUGGGACCUUUCUUUGUCCCACUUGAAGAGGAACCAUCAAGAGUCUUACCCUUGGUACCCUUUGAAGGGCUUUUCCUCUUCUUACCCUUCCCUUGCCCAAUUGCAAGAACAGGGGCUGUUAAAGGAGUAGAAGUAGCAACCGCUUUACCCUUAAGGCCAUUUUCAGCUGUCCUUAAGAGUCCUUGAAGUUUGCUAAGUGUGACUUCCUCCUUGUUCAUAUGAUAAGUCAUACGAAACUGAUCAUAACUUGGAGGUAAGGAAUGGAGAAUGAUGUCAAUCGCCAAUUCCUCAGGGAAGUCAACAUUGAGCUUUAGCAACCGGUCAACGAACCUCUGCAUCUUCUGCAAGUGACCGGUGAUGGGUUCACCAUCCUUCAUCCUUGCGGUUAUCAUGGAGGAAAUGAUUUCAUACCUCUCUUGACGCGCGCUCUGAUGGUACCUUUCCAUCAGAUCUAGGUGCAUCUCAUAGGGGUAGAAAUCUUCAUAAGAUUUUUGGAGUUCCGGAGUCAUUGUGGCCAUCAUGAUGCAGGACACCUUGGUGGCAUCCUUCUCAUGCGCAAUGAACUCCGCAAGCUCUUCUGGAGUAGCAGUGGCUUCAUUAACAACCUUAAGCUCCCUAUCAAGGACAUAUUCUUUGUCCUCAUAGCGGGUAAUCAUCCUGAUGUUUCUGAUCCACUCAUUAAAGUUGGAUCCAUCAAAGAUGACCUUACCACACAAGUUCAUUAGGGAAAAGGAGCCUGUAGGGUUUGAGCCAGCAGCGUUAUUGGAAGACAUCUGGAAUAAAAGGAAGAUAAGUUUCAUUAGAUUAAGAGUCCUUAAUAAGUCACCCAAAUGAAAUAUUAAGGCUAGGAUCCAACAAACUAUUUAUAGGUGGAAGAGGGAUGCCGUAAUCCACACUAUAAAAUAUUUGAAGGUAGGUAAAUGACGAUUUACCAAUUUCCACCAUAAGACGAAAUAUUUUAUUAUUAGGUUUUAUUGGUUUUGAAACUCCUAGAUCUUUUGAGAUACAUUGAACUUUUCAAUGGCAUGUUUGAAUCUCGAAUGUGCCCUCUCAAGUUUGUGACUGGGAUGCCGAGGAUCACAAACAAGGUGUGAAUAACCAUACAAAUUGACUUGGUACCCUUAACAAUAUUACCUAAUCGAUGUGCCGGUUAACCACACACGCUCCACCGAUCUAUAAUAAAGUCAAGUUACCCUUUGCCACUCUUACUAGUCCAUGUUAGUGUGUCGGUUAACCACACACGCUCCACUAACGACUUGGUAAGGUACAAAGUGUAAUUUUAUGGGCUAGCACCAAUUUCACAUUUUCCUAAAGUAACUAAGAUUGGGAAUUUAUAAUGUAUAGUUACUUUAUAAUUCAUUAUACUUUUAAUGAGAAUUUAAAGUCAUAUCCUACCCGUUCGGCUAACGACCCUCCACCGAUCAAGGAAGCGGUGGGUGAGAGUGGACACCCAUUAAGUCACCAUUUUAUAGGCAACAACCUUAUACCCCCCUUAUAGACCGGCUUCGUGAAUGAGGCCUACUAACGGUAAGAACGACAUAUUCUUAUACAUAUCUAUAUAAUAAAAUUAUAAUAAUAGUAUAAGUGUUGAUUUUUAAACUUUUUAAAAAUCUAAGGUUUAAUUUGGAAUUAAAGUAUUAGAGUGUAAGACUUUUCAAAUUCCAAAACUUGAGGGCAAGAAUUGAAACUAUUCCAAGUCUCUUCAAUUUGUAACUUAUGAGUUUUAAUGGUUCAUAAAAAUGAAGACUCUUCAUUUUAUGAAACCUCUUUAGUUCUUUAAUCACAAUUUAAAGAAGUGACUUUUGGUUAUCCAUAACUUGAGGACAAGUUAUGGACACCAUCAUUGCCAUUAAGAUCAUGAAUUAAACACACAUGGAGGUUACACAUAAUUCCUAUGAUCUUCUAAAAACUCAUAAGAACACAAAUUCAUGUCAAGCAAUUUCAAGAAAUCAUAUAAACAUAUAUAAUACUUGAAAAUUGAUAAAAGUCAUGCAAAAUGGGUUAACAUAAUCAUUAUCACUUUGAAAAACAGAUUUUACAAGUCCAAAACAGAUUGGGAUAAUGAUUUUAAUCCAUUUCCAGCAACAAAACACGAAAAAACUGCCCAGCACGCACCUACUCGUCGAGUGCAUGAUCCUACUCGACGAGUAGGAUGAAUUUGUACAUGGACUCGGCGAGUCCUCCCCAUGAACUCGGCGAGUCUAGUCGACAGUGAGCAGUUUUUUCGAUUUUCAAGCAGUUUUGCAUCAAGUAUACAGAAAACAAUCCUAGGCUCUGAUACCACUGAUGGGUUUUGAGCAUUCUAACACUUCCUAAGUGUACAUGCAACCCUAAUAACCUUGAAUCUAUGUUUUCUCUAUAUACAUGCAAAUUUCUUUUUCAAGGUUAUUUCCUAACUAGCAUGGCAUGGGGAAUAUAUAAAACAUAAAAACUAGUAGAAAUACAUACCUUGUUGUUGCUUGGAUUCCUUCAAGACUUUGUGAGCCUAGCACCCCAAAUGUUGUGCCUCAAAUGCUUCACACAACACCACAAAACUUGGAAUAACUUGAGAGAAUACUUCUAGCACUCAAAAUCGGUUAUGCCCUCUCUAGUAACCUUACUAGGUCCGAUUUCACUAGCCAAAGGGUCCCUUUUAUAGUGGUGUCACAAUUAGGGUUUUCACAUGAAUACUCUUAAUUGUCAUGACUCUUCAUUUCUCAUGACCCAUGGGUUUGUAACUCCCAUGGACUAUCCAUGGAGCUCCAAAUGGUUACAUCCAUAACCCAUAAACCAUGGAUCAUUAAUCCACCAUAAAAGAAUUGAUGAUUGUCAUAAUCAACCCUAUAUAUUUAAUUAGUCUCACUUUGAUCACCAAAUUAAUACUAGAUUAAUACUUGAUCAAUACUAAUUAAAUAAUACUAUUAUUAAUAUAUUAGAACUUAUAAUAUAUUAAUAAUCAUAAGUGCCAUAUUCUCUCAUUUAGUCUAUCCAAGUAUUGCAAUGCCAUGCAACCCAAAUGGACCAUGCCGGGUCGGGUCAAGUACAUACCAAAUAAAGUUAUGGACUUAGACACUAUAUCCAACAGUCUCCCACUUGGAUAAGUCUAAUAACUAUAUUUGCAAAUAUGACUUCAAAAUCCGACUAGCAAUCGUAGCUCUUUCAAAGUCUCUCGGAACUGAGAUGAUGAUGAUACGCCAUUUAAGAUAAGUGAUCAUAUAAUCCUCUGCUCUCAUGAUAUCAGCCGGACAAACACAUGGAACAUGGUCUUACUUAUUGUCCAGCAUUUGUUUCUCGAUCUCCGAUUUGUUUCGACAUAGAACUAAAUUGAACACAUCAAUUAGGUUCUGACCGGGCCCGGUACAUAGGUCAAAACCAAAUCAUCGAGGGGCCCAGAUAUCGCUUCUAUUUCUAGAAGGAACAGAUAAACUUCGACUGAUAUGCUUGUACUAACUACUUGUUGAAUUACUCACAAAGGCACGUUUUAUAACAUCGAGUUACCAAUGCGUUUUCGUACAAUCAAUGAAUAACCAACUCAUAGUCAACAACUCAUAUCUCUAGGUUUGAAGAUUUAUAUGAUAUUACCGUCUCACGAUCACUCGAGAUAAAUUCCAUGAAGUGAUGCAAGUGAGCGUGGGUUGAAUCCAAUACUCAGCCCUUAUGAGUACUCAUGAAUGUUGUAGCAACCAUUGCAUUGUCUAAAGCACUUUAGACAAAUCAUACAAGCCAAAUUCAUGACAGUCUUGAAUCAAUACUUACUUCCAAAGUUUGACCGACUGUGGAUGGUUUGAAUAAUAACAUGAUUAUUCUGGAAGUAAAAACAUGCAAAAUUGAAACAUAGUAAACAAUCAACACAAGAUAGUAACACCUUACUCAUAAAUAAAUAACAACUUUUAUUUAUCAUCAAAUGUCAAUUACAUUUUACAAGUUUCAGGAAUCUAAUUAUUGAAACUAAUAUCAUCCUUCAGCCCAAUGCGCCUUGCAUGCUGUAAAUGCUUAACCCUGCUCAGUCCCUUCGUGAGGGGAUCUGCCGGGUUCUCAUCUGAUGAUACCCUCUUUGCCACGAGGAGUCCUUCUUCUAUUCUAUGUCUGAUGAAAUGGUAUUUUCUGUCAAUGUGCCUAGAUCUCCCGUGAUCUCUUGGUUCUUUAGCCAAAGCAACCGCACUUUCACUGUCACAGAAAAUUUCCAUUGGCUCCUUUAUAGCUGGUACAACUCCAAGGUCUCCGAUGAAGUUCUUUAGCCAUAUCGCCUCUUUUGCUGCCUCGCUUGCUGCUAUGUACUCUGAUUCACAAGUCGAAUCAGCUACUGUCUCCUGCUUGGAACUUUUCCAAGUAAUUGCUCCUCCAUUUAGGAUAAAGACCCAGCCUGACUGAGAGCGGAAAUUAUCCCUAUCAGUUUGAAAGCUAGCAUCACUAUAUCCUUCCACUCUCAAGUCAUCACUGCCUCCGAGGGUAAGGACCCAGUCCUUAGUCCUCCGCAAAUACUUGAGAAUGUUCUUUACCGCUGUCCAGUGUGCCUUGCCAGGGUUCCCUUGAUAUCUACUGACCAUGCUCAAAGCAAAGGCCACAUCAGGGCGAGUACAAGUCAUAGCAUACAUGAUCGAGCCCACAGCGGAAGCAUAUGGUAUCUGACUCAUCUCAGCUAUCUCAGCCUCUGUACUCGGACUCUGAGUCUUACUUAGCUUGGCAUUACUCUGGAUUGGUAAUUCUCCUUUCUUGGAAUCUUGCAUACUGAACCUCUUCAGUACCUUAUCCACAUAAGUACUUUGACUAAGUCCAAUUAGUCUCUUACUCCUAUCUCUCAAUAUCCUUAUCCCUAGGAUAUAGGCAGCUUCCCCAAGGUCCUUCAUAGCAAAACACUUCCCAAGCCAGGCCUUAACCUCCUGCAAAGUUGGGAUGUCGUUUCCUAUGAGAAGUAUGUCAUCCACAUACAACACCAAGAAGCUAACUAUGCUCCCACUAGCCCUGACAUACACACAAGACUCAUCCUCACUCCUAGAAAAGCCAAACUCUUUGACUUUCUCAUCAAAGCAAAGAUUCCACCUGCGAGAUGCUUGUUUCAAUCCAUAAAUGGAUUUUUCAAGCUUACACACUCUAUUAGGGUAUUUUGGAUCGACAAAACCCUCUGGCUGAGCCAUGUAAACAUCCUCAGCCAACUUCCCAUUAAGGAAAGCGGUUUUGACAUCCAUUUGCCAUAUUUCAUAGUCAUGAAAUGCAGCUAUGGCUAACAACACUCUAAUAGACUUAAUCUUAGCUACUGGUGAGAAGGUCUCAUCAUAGUCAACUCCCGGAGUUUGAGUAAAGCCCUUCGCAACCAGUCGCGCUUUAUAAGUGUGUACUUUCCCAUCCAUGUCGGUCUUCUUCUUGAAGAUCCAUUUGCACCCAACUGUCUUACGACCUGGUACAUUGUCAACCAAGUUCCAAACUUGAUUGUCAUACAUGGACUGAAUCUCGCUGUCCAUAGCCUCCUUCCAUUUCGCAGACUCAGGGCCUGCCAUGGCUUCCUUAUAAUUAUUAGGUUCAUCCAAAUCUAUCAGUGUACUAUCACUGAUAAAUGUAUCACCUUCAGUGGUGAUGUGAUAACCAUAAUAAAAUUCAGGUGUGUUCCUCACCCUAGUGGAACGUCUUGGAGGUACAGACUCAUCUAUCGGCUCAACAGGAGUUUCCUCCUCAGGUUGGCUGACAGCAUUUGAGGUUCCUUCACCACUUGACUCUUGAAGCUCUUCAAGGUCAAUUUGCCUCCCACUGUCCCCUUGGCUUAUGAAUUCUCUCUCACGAAAGACUCCUCUUCUUGCUACAAAGACCACAUUAUCACUGGGUCUGUAGAAGAGGUAACCAAAGGAUCUCUGUGGGUAGCCGAUGAAAAUACACCUCUCGCUUCGGGGCUCAAGCUUGUCAUGAGUCUCACGCCUCACAAAAGCUUCACAACCCCAAAUCUUGAUGUGGUCCAAAUUGGGCACUUUCCCAGUCCACAUCUCGUGAGGUGUUUUGGCAACCUUUUUAGUAGGGACUAGAUUAAGGAUAUGGGCGGCAGUCUCUAAGGCAUACCCCCAGAAAGAGAUUGGUAACGAAGCUCGACUCAUCAUGGAACGAACCAUAUCCAACAGGGUUCGAUUGCGCCUCUCAGCUACACCAUUCAACUGUGGUGUCCUGGGAGGUGUCAAUUGUGAGACAAUCCCACAUUCCUUAAGAUAGUCAAGGAACUCAAUGCUAAGAUACUCUCCUCCCCGAUCGGAUUGGAGCAUCUUGAUGUUCCUGCCCAAUUGAUUCUCAACUUCCUGCUUAAACUCUUUGAACUUUUCAAAGGUUUCUGACUUAUGCUUGAUUAAGUAAAUAUAUCCAUAUCUACUGUAAUCAUCAGUAAAAGUCACAUAAUAACGAUUAGCAUCCCUUGUAGCAUCUCUAAGGGCCCACACACAUCCGUGUGUACAAGGUCCAACAAACCUUCACCCCUAUCACAAGUACCGGUGAAGGGUGACUUUGUCAUUUUUCCAAGUAAACAAGACUCGCAACUAUCAUCUGACUUGAGGUCAAAUGAUUCCAAGACUCCAGCCUUUUGGAGUUGGCCUAUGCGCUUCUUGUUAACAUGUCCAAGACGACAAUGCCACAAGGAUGCUUUAUCCAAGCUAUCAGAAGAAUCAAUAUACAACACAUUAUUUCCUAAAUUGUCUACAACAUUCACAGCUUC
rnacentral:lncRNA from 1 species